rnacentral:rRNA from 1 species
UACGUAGGGGGCAAGCGUUGUCCGGAUUUAUUGGGCGUAAAGAGCGUGUAGGCGGUUUUACAGGUCCGCUGUGAAAACUCGAGGCUCAACCUCGAGACGCCGAUGGAAACCAUGUGGCUAGAGUCCGGAAGAGGAGAGUGGAAUUCCUGGUGUAGCGGUGAAAUGCGCAGAUAUCAGGAAGAACACCCGUGGCUAAGGCGGCUCUCUAGUACGGUACUGACGCUGAGACGCGAAAGCGUGGGGAGCGAACAGG